rnacentral:rRNA from 1 species
CGACCGCUGGCGGCGUGCUUAACACAUGCAAGUCGAACGGAAAGGCCUGCAGCUUGCUGCGGGUACUCGAGUGGCGAACGGGUGAGUAACACGUGGGUGAUCUGCCUUGCACUUCGGGAUAAGCUUGGGAAACUGGGUCUAAUACCGGAUAGGACAGCUGUUUAGUGUCAGUUGUGGAAAGUUUUUUCGGUGCAAGAUGAGCUCGCGGCCUAUCAGCUUGUUGGUGGGGUAAUGGCCUACCAAGGCGUCGACGGGUAGCCGGCCUGAGAGGGUGUACGGCCACAUUGGGACUGAGAUACGGCCCAGACUCCUACGGGAGGCAGCAGUGGGGAAUAUUGCACAAUGGGCGGAAGCCUGAUGCAGCGACGCCGCGUGGGGGAUGAAGGCCUUCGGGUUGUAAACUCCUUUCGACAGGGACGAAGCUUUUGUGACGGUACCUGUAUAAGAAGCACCGGCUAACUACGUG